ensembl:lincRNA
AGGUUCCAGAGCUUAGGACAGGGACUUUGUGUGUGGGUGGAGGGGGCAUUCUAGUCGGACCAUCAAAAACUUGUUCUUCCUGACGCUGGAGGAAAGUGAGCUGGAGGGUGCUGCUUUGGUUUGAUGGUUAGGGACACCUGCUGUGAGAUGAGCCCUAAGCAGAGACGGGGGAGUCCUGGAGGAGCCCAAGGGCAGUUGCUGGAGGAGCAGUCCAGGAAAAAGAAAUGUGAACCCCAGGGGCCCAGGAGUAAUGUCACCAAUACUGCAAGAGGCCGGACCUCCUGUAGUCCCUGUGUCCACUUCAUAGGAAACAGCAGGCAAGUGACUUACUCCUCCUAACAUGUUUAUCACCUCAUGCGCUUCUCAUGGCUGUCCUUGGGGAGGCAGGUCCUGUAGCCACCCCAUCUCACACAGGAGCACACCGGGCCUCAGAGACCAGGUGAUGUGCAGGAGUCACUGAGGGAACCAGGAGGUGGAAGGCCCCAGGAGAGAGGUGGGUGUAGCACUGGCUUCUCUCACUUAAGACAUCUAAAGCGUUGCCAGGGAGAAGGAGGAAUCAAUUUGUUGUGUGUGAACCUGCACAAAAGGGUUCUGAGGCCAGAGAAGGUUUUGGUUCAGGACAUGGAGAGGACAAGGCUUUGGGUCAGUCACAGACCUUGAAAAGGGUUAAGUAGAGAGAAGCAGCCGGUGGCCGUACUGCGAAGCACCUUCCGGCUGGCUAAACGCCUCCUGUAAGCAGGAGCCCUGGUGCUGACCCUGAGAAAGCCCUUGAACACAUCUGCUUUGCAUCAGAGUCAGCCCGGUGAACAUUAUAAUUGUGUAUAAUUGUUAUAACUGAGCCUGAAACUGUUGUGACUUAUGGAAAAAACUUUAAAAGUGUUAUUAUUAUUAUUUUGGCAUGACUUUAACAGACACUAAACAUGGGGAGAUAGAAUUCGGCACUCGCUGUUUUCUCAUAACUCACCAACAGUUGUUCACUACUUUGGCUUUUAUUUAUGUCUAUUUUUUGUACUUUUAUUUAUGUAUAUUUAUAAUGCCAUAGGCCAGGGCACUUAACUACUGAGCCACAUUCAGAGUCCUUUUUAUUUUUUAUUUUGAGACAGGGUCUUUCUAAGUUUCCAAGGGCCUCUGUUAUGGUUUGGGUGUGAGGUGGUCCCCCAAAAGCUCUCAUGUGAGACAAUGCAAGAAGGUUCAGAGGAGAAAUGAAGGGGUUGUGAGAGUCUUAACCAAUCAGUGAGUUAAUCCCCUGAUAGAGAUCAACUGAGUGGUAACUGGAGGGUGGUGGGGUGUGGCUGGAGGCGGCGGGCACUGGGGCAUGGUUAUGGGGUAUUUGUUUGUAUCUGGUGAGUGGAGACCCCUUUCUCUGCUUCCUGAUCAUCAUGUGAGCUGCUUCCCUCUACCACACUCUUCCACCAUGAUGUCCUGCCUCACCUUGAGUCCCGAGGAAUGGAGCCUGUUGUCUGUGGAUGGAGACCUAUGACACUCUGAGCCCUUAAUUAAACCUUUCCUCCUCUAUAGUGGUUCUGGGUGAGUUGUUUUAGUCCUAGAGAAAAAGCUGACUAAAACAGCCCCCCAAGUUGCCUGUGCCACUGUGUCCAGCUUGUUCACAAUGUUGGAAGAACUGCUCACAGACAGCAAAGCCACUCCUGGAAUCUGAUGGCCAGUACUACAUCAGCGCCAUUCUGCAUUUGUCCCCGUUACAAAGAAGAUGGUUCUAUCCUGAACAUAGGCACAGCAGCAGCUGACCAUGCUUCGUGUCAUCUGACUCAGGCAAGCCAGAGUUACCAAACUCAUUCCCAGUUGAAGUAAUAAAUUAAUUUCCCUUUAUUUCUUCAUU